GGACUACCGGGGUAUCUAAUCCCGUUCGCUACCCACGCUUUCGUGUUUGAGUGUCAGGAACGCGCCAGUGCACUGCCUUCGCUUUCGGUAUUCCCCUAGAUAUCAACGGAUUUCACCCCUACACCUAGAGUUCUAUGCACCUCUCACGCCCUCGAGUCAUACCGUUUCGCCCGCACUUCCAAGGUUAGGCCCUGGGUUUUAACGGACGACUAAUAUGACCACCUACACACGCUUUACGCCCAGUGAUUCCGGGUAACGCUUGGGGCCUCUGUAUUACCGCGGCUGCUGGCAC
rnacentral:rRNA from 1 species